rnacentral:tRNA from 2 species
GCGGGUUUAGCUCAGUUGGGAGAGCGUCAGACUGAAGAUCUGAAGGUCGCGUGUUCGAUCCACGCAAACCGCA